rnacentral:misc_RNA from 1 species
GGGACAGUUGUUGAAAUUUAUCCCCUUAUGAUAUGAAGGAUAUAAAAACAGUACUUUGCGAAGUUUAUCUAGUGGCACGCACUCCCGCACUUUAAUCAGAAUUUCCAAUGCUUUUCAGCAAAAGCCUCUUUAGAGGGAUGAUGCAAUAAAGAUAAAAAGGUAUUUGGUUGACAAAACAAAAAGUGACCAGAAUUGCACAGGUGGAACAUUAAACAGAAAUGAUUCCUCAAAGUAAGGUUAUCAAAUAAGAAAAAAAUCUAUGCAAAAGGGAAGGAACUGCUAUCCAAAUGUACUCAGAUGUGAGUGAAAACUGACAACUGAGAGAAGGUUAUUACGUGGUUCAGUUCUCACACAGUCCACAAAGAGCCUAACAUAAAAUGUUCAUAUCAUAUGCACAUGGCUACCUAAUAAUAGGUUUCCACAAACAAAGAGGCAUACCUUUAAGUGUUGCAAUU